ensembl:miRNA
UGCUCAGUAGUCAGUGUAGAUCCUGUGGGGCUGGCAGCAGCUACAUCUGGCUACUGGGUCUC